UUAAGCGACUAAGCGUACACGGUGGAUGCCCUGGCAGUCAGAGGCGAUGAAGGGCGUGCUAAUCUGCGAUAAGCGCCGGUAAGGUGAUAUGAACCGUUAUAACCGGCGAUACCCGAAUGGGGAAACCCAGUGUGACUCGUCACACUAUCAUUAACUGAAUCCAUAGGUUAAUGAGGCGAACCGGGGGAACUGAAACAUCUAAGUACCCCGAGGAAAAGAAAUCAACCGAGAUUCCCCCAGUAGCGGCGAGCGAACGGGGAGGAGCCCAGAGCCUGAAUCAGCAUGUGUGUUAGUGGAAGCGUCUGGAAAGGCGCGCGAUACAGGGUGACAGCCCCGUACACAAAAGCGCAUGUGCUGUGAGCUCGAUGAGUAGGGCGGGACACGUGGUAUCCUGUCUGAAUAUGGGGGGACCAUCCUCCAAGGCUAAAUACUCCUGACUGACCGAUAGUGAACCAGUACCGUGAGGGAAAGGCGAAAAGAACCCCGGCGAGGGGAGUGAAAAAGAACCUGAAACCGUGUACGUACAAGCAGUGGGAGCCCCACCACUAAGCCAGUGGUGAACUCCACAUACGCAUCCUUUGCUGAAGGCAAUGGUUAACGGAGCGAAAGCGACGUUCAACCGCAAAACAAGCAGAGGGGGCUUAGUGGUGGGGUGACUGCGUACCUUUUGUAUAAUGGGUCAGCGACUUAUAUUCUGUAGCAAGGUUAACCGUAUAGGGGAGCCGGAGGGAAACCGAGUCUUAAUUGGGCGUUAAGUUGCAGGGUAUAGACCCGAAACCCGGUGAUCUAGCCAUGGGCAGGUUGAAGGUUGGGUAACACUAACUGGAGGACCGAACCGACUAAUGUUGAAAAAUUAGCGGAUGACCUGUGGCUGGGGGUGAAAGGCCAAUCAAACCGGGAGAUAGCUGGUUCUCCCCGAAAGCUAUUUAGGUAGCGCCUCGUGAAUUCAUCUCCGGGGGUAGAGCACUGUUUCGGCUAGGGGGCCAUCCCGGCUUACCAACCCGAUGCAAACUGCGAAUACCGGAGAAUGUUAUCACGGGAGACACACGGCGGGUGCUAACGUCCGUCGUGAAGAGGGAAACAACCCAGACCGCCAGCUAAGGUCCCAAAGUCAUGGUUAAGUGGGAAACGAUGUGGGAAGGCCCAGACAGCCAGGAUGUUGGCUUAGAAGCAGCCAUCAUUUAAAGAAAGCGUAAUAGCUCACUGGUCGAGUCGGCCUGCGCGGAAGAUGUAACGGGGCUAAACCAUGCACCGAAGCUGCGGCAGCGACACUCAGGUGUUGUUGGGUAGGGGAGCGUUCUGUAAGCCUGUGAAGGUGUGUCGUGAGGCAUGCUGGAGGUAUCAGAAGUGCGAAUGCUGACAUAAGUAACGAUAAAGCGGGUGAAAAGCCCGCUCGCCGGAAGACCAAGGGUUCCUGUCCAACGUUAAUCGGGGCAGGGUGAGUCGACCCCUAAGGCGAGGCCGAAAGGCGUAGUCGAUGGGAAACAGGUUAAUAUUCCCGUACUUGGUGUUACUGCGAAGGGGGGACGGAGAAGGCUAUGUUGGCCGGGCGACGGUUGUCCCGGUUUAAGCGUGUAGGUGUGUGUUCCAGGUAAAUCCGGUUCACUUUAACACUGAGGCGUGAUGACGAGGCACUACGGUGCUGAAGCAACAAAUGCCCUGCUUCCAGGAAAAGCCUCUAAGCAUCAGGUAACAUCAAAUCGUACCCCAAACCGACACAGGUGGUCAGGUAGAGAAUACCAAGGCGCUUGAGAGAACUCGGGUGAAGGAACUAGGCAAAAUGGUGCCGUAACUUCGGGAGAAGGCACGCUGACACGUAGGUGAAGUGAUUUACUCAUGGAGCUGAAGUCAGUCGAAGAUACCAGCUGGCUGCAACUGUUUAUUAAAAACACAGCACUGUGCAAACACGAAAGUGGACGUAUACGGUGUGACGCCUGCCCGGUGCCGGAAGGUUAAUUGAUGGGGUCAGCGCAAGCGAAGCUCCUGAUCGAAGCCCCGGUAAACGGCGGCCGUAACUAUAACGGUCCUAAGGUAGCGAAAUUCCUUGUCGGGUAAGUUCCGACCUGCACGAAUGGCGUAAUGAUGGCCAGGCUGUCUCCACCCGAGACUCAGUGAAAUUGAACUCGCUGUGAAGAUGCAGUGUACCCGCGGCAAGACGGAAAGACCCCGUGAACCUUUACUAUAGCUUGACACUGAACAUUGAGCCUUGAUGUGUAGGAUAGGUGGGAGGCUUUGAAGCGUGGACGCCAGUCUGCGUGGAGCCGACCUUGAAAUACCACCCUUUAAUGUUUGAUGUUCUAACGUGGACCCGUAAUCCGGGUUGCGGACAGUGUCUGGUGGGUAGUUUGACUGGGGCGGUCUCCUCCUAAAGAGUAACGGAGGAGCACGAAGGUUGGCUAAUCCUGGUCGGACAUCAGGAGGUUAGUGCAAUGGCAUAAGCCAGCUUGACUGCGAGCGUGACGGCGCGAGCAGGUGCGAAAGCAGGUCAUAGUGAUCCGGUGGUUCUGAAUGGAAGGGCCAUCGCUCAACGGAUAAAAGGUACUCCGGGGAUAACAGGCUGAUACCGCCCAAGAGUUCAUAUCGACGGCGGUGUUUGGCACCUCGAUGUCGGCUCAUCACAUCCUGGGGCUGAAGUAGGUCCCAAGGGUAUGGCUGUUCGCCAUUUAAAGUGGUACGCGAGCUGGGUUUAGAACGUCGUGAGACAGUUCGGUCCCUAUCUGCCGUGGGCGCUGGAGAACUGAGGGGGGCUGCUCCUAGUACGAGAGGACCGGAGUGGACGCAUCACUGGUGUUCGGGUUGUCAUGCCAAUGGCACUGCCCGGUAGCUAAAUGCGGAAGAGAUAAGUGCUGAAAGCAUCUAAGCACGAAACUUGCCCCGAGAUGAGUUCUCCCUGAGACUUAGAGUCUCCUGAAGGAACGUUGAAGACGACGACGUUGAUAGGCCGGGUGUGUAAGCGCAGCGAUGCGUUGAGCUAACCGGUACUAAUGAACCGUGAGGCUUAACCUU
rnacentral:rRNA from 1 species